UGGCUCCAUGCGCCGCGUCUCUCUCUGCGCCCUACCCCUCCCCCGCGCCGGGAGAGGGGGGCGCUGCGCCGGCUUUGCGGUCCGCGCCGCCGCCUGUGGCCGCCCCGGUGCCCUCUGCCAGUGCUGCGGUGGACGGCACUGCCGAGCUACCGGCUGGUUCGGCCGCGCCUUCCCCGCCUUCCGCGGGUGUCGAGGCUGCGGCGCGGCGGGGCGUUGGGGUGUUUACCUUUAGCGCGACUGCUGACGCGGCCAGCGGGAGACCGUUUUGGGAUUGGCUAACGAACCAUCACAACUCCCCGCACAAGUGGAUUUUGACAGCCGCCUGGCCUCCGGACUGGUCCCUGAAUCCAGUGGAGACGCCUGUCGCGGGACUGGGGGGAACGGCGUGAUGUUACGUGAGCCAGCGGUCCAUGCAGGUCACGAAUCCAGAGGGACAGACGGCCUGGAUUAGGCCUCAUUGCAGGAGCAGUUGGACCAGGGUGAUCUGGAGCCUUCUACCAGUCACUGGAACACUCCUGUCUUCUGCAUCAAGAAGAAAUCUGGGAAAUGGAGGUUGUUACAAGACCUCCGAAAGGUCAGUGACGUGAUGGAAAGCAUGGGAACACUGCAGGCAGGCAUUCCAUCGCCUAACAUAUUUCCUGCAGAUUGGCCAAUCUUCAUUGUGUAUUUGAAGGAAUAUUUCUUUACAAUUCCUUUGCAUCCCAAUGACAGACCAAAAUUUGGCUUCUCGGUGCCAGCAAUUGACAAUGCUCAGACCACACAGCGAUAUCAAUGGAAAGUUUUGCCCCAGGGGGUGCGCAAUUCCCCUGCCAUAUGCCAAUGGUAUGUGGCCCGUGCUUUAUUUGGAGUUCACAAGCAGUUUCGUGAUGCACGUCAAUAUCAUUAUAUGGAAGACAUUUUGGUGGCUGCAUCCACCCAGGGUGAGAUGCUGAGGACUCAGCCUCGGUUGCUCAAUGGUUUGCAUGCACAUGGGCUGCAGGUGGCUCCAGAAAAGGUUCAACAGCAACCUCCUUGGAAG